CCAGACUCCUACGGGAGGCAGCAGUGGGGGAUAUUGCACAAUGGGGGGAACCCUGAUGCAGCGACGCCGCGUGGGUGAGGAAGUACCCCGGUAUGUAAAGCCCUUUCGGCAGGGAAGAAAAUGACGGUACCUGACUAAGAAGCCCCGGCUAACUACGUGCCAGCAGCCGCGGUAAUACGUAGGGGGCAAGCGUUAUCCGGAUUUACUGGGUGUAAAGGGAGCGUAGACGGUAGAGCAAGUCUGAAGUGAAAGCCCGCGGCUCAACUGCGGGACUGCUUUGGAAACUGUUCAACUGGAGGGCUGGAGAGGUAAGCGGAAUUCCUAGUGUAGCGGUGAAAUGCGUAGAUAUUAGGAGGAACACCAGUGGCGAAGGCGGCUUACUGGACAGUAACUGACGUUGAGGCUCGAAAGCGUGGGGAGCAAACAGGAUUAGAUACCCCCGUAGCA
rnacentral:rRNA from 1 species